CCUACGGGAGGCAGCAGUAGGGAAUCUUCCACAAUGGGCGAAAGCCUGAUGGAGCAACGCCGCGUGGGUGAAGAAGGUCUUCGGAUCGUAAAACCCUGUUGUUAGAGAAGAAAGUGCGUGAGAGUAACUGUUCACGUUUCGACGGUAUCUAACCAGAAAGCCACGGCUAACUACGUGCCAGCAGCCGCGGUAAUACGUAGGUGGCAAGCGUUAUCCGGAUUGAUUGGGCGUAAAGGGAGCGCAGGCGGUCUUUUAAGUCUGAUGUGAAAGCCUUCGGCUUAACCGGGGUAGUGCAUUGGAAACGGUGAGACUUGAGUGCAGAAGAGGAGAGCGGAACGUCAUGUGUAGCGGUGAAAUGCGUAGAUAUAUGGAAGAACACCAGUGGCGAAAGCGGCUCUCUGGUCUGUAACUGACGCUGAGGUUCGAAAGCGUGGGUAGCAAACAGGAUUAGAUACCCCGGUAGUC
rnacentral:rRNA from 1 species